UCCGUAGGGACCAAGCGUUGUUCGGAUUUACUGGGCGUAAAGGGCGCGUAGGCGGCUUAACAAGUCACUUGUGAAAUCUCCGGGCUUAACUCGGAACGGCCAAGUGAAACUGUCAAGCUAGAGUGCAGAAGGGGCAAUCGGAAUUCUUGGUGUAGCGGUGAAAUGCGUAGAUAUCAAGAGGAACACCUGAGGUGAAGACGGGUUGCUGGGCUGACACUGACGCUGAGGCGCGAAAGCCAGGGGAGCAAACGGG
rnacentral:rRNA from 1 species